rnacentral:rRNA from 1 species
UACGGGGGGGGCAAGCGUUGUUCGGAAUUACUGGGCGUAAAGGGCUCGUAGGUGGCCAACUAAGUCAGACGUGAAAUCCCUCGGCUUAACCGGGGAACUGCGUCUGAUACUGGAUGGCUUGAGUUUGGGAGAGGGAUGCGGAAUUCCAGGUGUAGCGGUGAAAUGCGUAGAUAUCGAGAGGAACACCUGCGGCGAAGGCGGGUUGCUGGGCUGACACUGACGCUGAUGCGCGAAAGCCAGGGGAG